rnacentral:tRNA from 1 species
GCCGUUAUAGUUUAAAGGAUAAAAUACUCGGUUGUGACCCGGGAGAUUUUGGUUUAAUUCCAAAUGAUGGCA